UACGGGGGGGGCAAGCGUUGUUCGGAAUUCCUGGGCGUAAAGGGCUCGUAGGCGGCCAACUAAGUCAGACGUGAAAUCCCUCGGCUUAACCGGGGAACUGCGUCUGAUACUGGAUGGCUUGAAUCCGGGAGAGGGAUGCGGAAUUCCAGGUGUAGCGGUGAAAUGCGUAGAUAUCUGGAGGAACACCGGUGGCGAAGGCGACAUCCUGGACCGGUAUUGACGCUGAGGCGCGAAAGCCAGGGGAGCAAACGGG
rnacentral:rRNA from 1 species